AAGUCGUAACAAGGUUUCCGUAGGUGAACCUGCGGAAGGAUCAUUACAGUGUUAGGCUUCGGCCUCAUUCACACCCCUUGUUGAACCUCUGGUUUCUUUGGCGAUGUCAUGGACUCGUCAAACUUUAACUCUGGGAAUGCGAUACUGUCCGAGUGCAAUCGAAUGAUUAAAACUUUCAACAACGGAUCUCUUGGUUCCA
rnacentral:misc_RNA from 1 species